GAUGAACGCUGGCGGCGUGCCUAAUACAUGCAAGUCGAGCGAACAGACGAGGAGCUUGCUCCUCUGACGUUAGCGGCGGACGGGUGAGUAACACGUGGAUAACCUACCUAUAAGACUGGGAUAACUUCGGGAAACCGGAGCUAAUACCGGAUAAUAUAUUGAACCGCAUGGUUCAAUAGUGAAAGACGGUUUUGCUGUCACUUAUAGAUGGAUCCGCGCCGCAUUAGCUAGUUGGUACGGUAACGGCUUACCAAGGCAACGAUGCGUAGCCGACCUGAGAGGGUGAUCGGCCACACUGGAACUGAGACACGGUCCAGACUCCUACGGGAGGCAGCAGUAGGGAAUCUUCCGCAAUAGGCGAAAGCCUGACGGAGCAACGCCGCGUGAGUGAUGAAGGUCUUCGGAUCGUAAAACUCUGUUAUUAGGGAAGAACAAAUGUGUAAGUAACUAUGCACGUCUUGACGGUACCUAAUCAGAAAGCCACGGCUAACUACGUG
rnacentral:rRNA from 1 species